AUACGGAGGAUGCGAGCGUUAUCCGGAUUUAUUGGGUUUAAAGGGAGCGUAGGUGGGAUAUUAAGUCAGCUGUGAAAGUUUGGGGCUCAACCUUAAAAUUGCAGUUGAUACUGGUUUCCUUGAGUACGGUACAGGUGGGCGGAAUUCGUGGGGUAGCGGUGAAAUGCUUAGAUAUCACGAAGAACUCCGAUCGCGAAGGCAGCUCACCGGGCCGGAACUGACACUGAUGCUCGAAAGUGCGGGUAUCAAACAGGAUUAGAUACCCUGGUAGUCCGCACAGUAAACGAUGAAUACUCGCUGUUUGCGAUACACGGUAAGCGGCCAAGCGAAAGCGUUAAGUAUUCCACCUGGGGAGUACGCCGGCAACGGUGAAACUUAAAGGAAUUGACGGGG
rnacentral:rRNA from 1 species